rnacentral:rRNA from 1 species
GAUGAACGCUAGCGGCAGGCCUAAUACAUGCAAGUCGAACGGGAUUAAGAGGCUUGCUUCUUAUGAGAGUGGCGCACGGGUGCGUAACACGUAUGCAACCUACCUUCAACUGGGGGAUAGCCUUCCGAAAGGGAGAUUAAUACCGCAUAAUAUAAUUGAGUGGCAUCACUUGAUUAUCAAACGUCAGGGUUGAAGAUGGGCAUGCGUCCGAUUAGUUUGUUGGUGAGGUAACGGCUCACCAAGACUACGAUCGGUAGGGGAUCUGAGAGGAUGGCCCCCCACACUGGUACUGAGACACGGACCAGACUCCUACGGGAGGCAGCAGUAAGGAAUAUUGGUCAAUGGACGGAAGUCUGAACCAGCCAUGCCGCGUGCAGGAAGACGGUCCUCUGGAUUGUAAACUGCUUUUGUUAGGGAAGAAACUUCCGUACGUGUACGGGACUGACGGUACCUAAAGAAUAAGGAUCGGCUAACUCCGUGCCAGCAGCCGCGGUAAAAC